rnacentral:rRNA from 1 species
UGGGGAAUUUUGGACAAUGGGCGAAAGCCUGAUCCAGCCAUGCCGCGUGAGUGAAGAAGGCCUUCGGGUUGUAAAGCUCUUUCAGACGGAAAGAAAUCUCUCAGGAUAAUACCUUGGGAGGAUGACGGUACCGUAAGAAGAAGCACCGGCUAACUACGUGCCAGCAGCCGCGGUAAUACGUAGGGUGCGAGCGUUAAUCGGAAUUACUGGGCGUAAAGCGUGCGCAGGCGGUGAUGUAAGACAGAUGUGAAAUCCCCGGGCUCAACCUGGGAACUGCGUUUGUGACUGCAUCACUCGAGUACGGCAGAGGGAGGUGGAAUUCCGCGUGUAGCAGUGAAAUGCGUAGAGAUGCGGAGGAACACCGAUGGCGAAGGCAGCCUCCUGGGCCAGUACUGACGCUCAUGCACGAAAGCGUGGGGAGCAAACA